GACGAACGCUGGCGGCGUGCUUAACACAUGCAAGUCGAACGGAAAGGCCCUGCUUUUGUGGGGUGCUCGAGUGGCGAACGGGUGAGUAACACGUGAGUAACCUGCCCUUGACUUUGGGAUAACUUCAGGAAACUGGGGCUAAUACCGGAUAGGAGCUCCUGCUGCAUGGUGGGGGUUGGAAAGUUUCGGCGGUUAGGGAUGGACUCGCGGCUUAUCAGCUUGUUGGUGGGGUAGUGGCUUACCAAGGCUUUGACGGGUAGCCGGCCUGAGAGGGUGACCGGCCACAUUGGGACUGAGAUACGGCCCAGACUCCUACGGGAGGCAGCAGUGGGGAAUAUUGCACAAUGGGCGGAAGCCUGAUGCAGCAACGCCGCGUGCGGGAUGACGGCCUUCGGGUUGUAAACCGCUUUCGCCUGUGACGAAGCGUGAGUGACGGUAAUGGGUAAAGAAGCACCGGCUAACUACGUGCCAGCAGCCGCGGUGAUACGUAGGGUGCGAGCGUUGUCCGGAUUUAUUGGGCGUAAAGGGCUCGUAGGUGGUUGAUCGCGUCGGAAGUGUAAUCUUGGGGCUUAACCCUGAGCGUGCUUUCGAUACGGGUUGACUUGAGGAAGGUAGGGGAGAAUGGAAUUCCUGGUGGAGCGGUGGAAUGCGCAGAUAUCAGGAGGAACACCAGUGGCGAAGGCGGUUCUCUGGGCCUUUCCUGACGCUGAGGAGCGAAAGCGUGGGGAGCGAACAGGCUUAGAUACCCUGGUAGUCCACGCUGUAAACGGUGGGUACUAGGUGUGGGGUCCAUUCCACGGGUUCCGUGCCGUAGCUAACGCUUUAAGUACCCCGCCUGGGGAGUACGGCCGCAAGGCUAAAACUCAAAGGAAUUGACGGGGCCCCGCACAAGCGGCGGAGCAUGCGGAUUAAUUCGAUGCAACGCGUAGAACCUUACCUGGGUUUGACAUGGAUCGGGAGUGCUCAGAGAUGGGUGUGCCUCUUUUGGGGUCGGUUCACAGGUGGUGCAUGGCUGUCGUCAGCUCGUGUCGUGAGAUGUUGGGUUAAGUCCCGCAACGAGCGCAACCCUUGUUCACUGUUGCCAGCACGUUAUGGUGGGGACUCAGUGGAGACCGCCGGGGUCAACUCGGAGGAAGGUGGGGAUGACGUCAAGUCAUCAUGCCCCUUAUGUCCAGGGCUUCACGCAUGCUACAAUGGCUGGUACAGAGAGUGGCGAGCCUGUGAGGGUGAGCGAAUCUCGGAAAGCCGGUCUCAGUUCGGAUUGGGGUCUGCAACUCGACCUCAUGAAGUCGGAGUCGCUAGUAAUCGCAGAUCAGCAACGCUGCGGUGAAUACGUUCCCGGG
rnacentral:rRNA from 1 species